UACAGAGGAUGCAAGCGUUAUCCGGAAUGAUUGGGCGUAAAGCGUCUGUAGGUGGCUUUUUAAGUCCGCCGUCAAAUCCCAGGGCUCAACUCUGGACAGGCGGUGGAAACUGCCAAGCUGGAGUACGGUAGGGGCAGAGGGAAUUUCCGGUGGAGCGGUGAAAUGCGUAGAGAUCGGAAAGAACACCAACGGCGAAAGCGCUCUGCUGGGCCGACACUGACGCUGAGAGACGAAAGCUAGGGGAGCGAAUGGG
rnacentral:rRNA from 1 species